UUGAUUAUAAAAUUAAAUUGAUGAUAGUUAAGAUUAGGUAUAAAUUUUAAAUUGAUUAGUAAGUCAACAUGAAUCUUUAAAAAAAAUUAAAGAAAUCUUCUUUUAAAAUUGUUUAUUUUAAAUUUUAAAGUGUAAUACCUAAGUUUUGCCCAGGCCCGAUAAAUAUAAAAAAUCAAAUAUUAAUAUUAAAAGUCCAAAAUCCAGAUUACAAAAUCAAAAAAUAAUAAAUUAAAACCUAAAAUAAAUAAACCCAUUACACUAGCCCAAACCCUAACCCAAAACCUAAAUUUAAUUUAGCCCACUAGCCUAAAUACUCCUAGCCCAAUAAGCCCAACCCAAACUAAAAACAGAACCAAAAACCUUAGCAGCAUCCAGCUCCUAGCGCUGCAGCAGCCAAGCCCUCCCCCGCUCGUGCUGCGCCUCCGCACGCGUACGUCCCUCUGAGCUUGUAUCUGCACAGCAAAAAUGGCAACAAACAGCACAGGCAAGGAAAAAAAAAGAACAAGAAAAUCAAAAAUCGCAAAUCAAGGCCAACAGAUAACAGAAUAUAUUUCUAUUUUCUUGUUUCAUUUCGGCUAUAAAAAGCUAUUGAAAAUUUGUAAAAAGGGGAUUCACAAAUCAAAUAAAAAAAAAGAAUUGAUAUCACAAGCAGAGACUUUAGAUUUAAGGUAGAUUUUGUUUUUUUUUCUCUUUUUUGGUUUCUGUUUUCGAUUUAUUUUUUUAAAAUAAUACAAUAAGUAGUAAAGAAAAGGAAAUAGAAGGGGGUACUUGCCGGAAUGAUCCCGCGCGUUCUUCGUCAGCGUCGAGCACCAUCUAUGAUGGAGCCGCGGCGGAGAGACGUGGACUGGUGGCGGCAGAACCUAGGGCCGAAACCCUAGCAGAGGAAAUUUUAAAUCUAAUUUUUUUCUAUUUUAGGCUGCAAAUGUUUUUUUUUUAAUUUUUUUGGCUUAAAUAAAUCUGCUAAAACGGCGCCGUUUGAGAUGAGGCUUGUAGGUGUCAAAACGACAUCGUUUAAUGGCCUAUACCCGCGCUUUCGACCCGACCCGAAAGGGGGGAGUCCACGUGUUAUGUGAAGAGAGGUUAUUUGCAUGCGCGGUCCUCCUGUAUUUUUUAUUGUUUCAAUUCAAUCCUAUUUUCAUUAUUUUCAUUUUUUUUAAAACAGCCUGCUUAAUUCUUGCGCGUUGCAAUUUAAUCCUUGGCACACUGGCACGCUGGGAAGUGUACAUAUGUCUAAAGGAUGGUUUAUUUCGCAAUUCGGUCCUCCCUUCUUUAGCGCGCAUUCAAUCUGGUCCCGAUUUGUUUUUAUUCAUUACGAUUUUCCCUCAAAUUUUGUUUUGUUUUCAAUAUGAUCCAAUAAUUAUUUUAUUUUAUUUUAUUAUACAUAUAUAUAAUUCAUAUUAAAUUAUUUUUUAUUCUAUAUGUAUAUUAUUGAUACCUUAAUUUUUCUUUUAAAUGUGUUUAUAUUUUUGAAAGAAAA
rnacentral:lncRNA from 1 species